rnacentral:rRNA from 1 species
GACGAACGCUGGCGGCGUGCUUAACACAUGCAAGUCGAACGGAAAGGCCCUGCUUUUGUGGGGUGCUCGAGUGGCGAACGGGUGAGUAACACGUGAGUAACCUGCCCUUGACUUUGGGAUAACUUCAGGAAACUGGGGCUAAUACCGGAUAGGAGCUCCUGCUGCAUGGUGGGGGUUGGAAAGUUUCGGCGGUUGGGGAUGGACUCGCGGCUUAUCAGCUUGUUGGUGGGGUAGUGGCCUACCAAGGCUUUGACGGGUAGCCGGCCUGAGAGGGUGACCGGCCACAUAGGGACUGAGAUACGGCCCAGACUCCUACGGGAGGCAGCAGUGGGGAAUAUUGCACAAUGGGCGGAAGCCUGAUGCAGCAACGCCGCGUGCGGGAUGACGGCCUUCGGGUUGUAAACCGCUUUCGCCUGUGACGAAGCGUGAGUGACGGUAAUGGGUAAAGAAGCACCGGCUAACUACGUG